UUUUCCAGAGACUUUGCCUAGAAGAACUGGGCCACCCUCACCACCUUCUGCACCUGAUACUGCUGCUUCUUUAACAGAAAGUGGGGUUGGUAGAACUGGGCCACCUCCCCCUCCUCCUCCUCCAGCAACACCCUCAUCUUCUAGAGAUGGAAUGCCUCAAGUUCCAUCCCUCCAACUCCACCUCCUCCUCCAGCCCCUCCCUUGAAGGAGAUUUCAACUCCUAUAGGUGGCCCACCUCCACCACCACCUCCUCCAGCAAUGCCCUCAUCUUCUAGAGAUGGAAUGCCUCAAGUUCCAUCCCCUCCAACUCCACCUCCUCCUCCUCCAGUCCCUCCCUUGAAGGAGAUUUCAACUCCUAU
rnacentral:lncRNA from 1 species